CAAGAGAGUAGAAGCGGUCAGGGCUCCCGCCCGGGACAUUGCUCUCCAA
rnacentral:ncRNA from 1 species